rnacentral:rRNA from 1 species
AAAGGCCAAUCAAACCGGGAGAUAGCUGGUUCUCCCCGAAAGCUAUUUAGGUAGCGCCUCGUGAAUUCAUCUCCGGGGGUAGAGCACUGUUUCGGCAAGGGGGUCAUCCCGACUUACCAACCCGAUGCAAACUGCGAAUACCGGAGAAUGUUAUCACGGGAGACACACGGCGGGUGCUAACGUCCGUCGUGAAGAGGGAAACAACCCAGACCGCCAGCUAAGGUCCCAAAGUCAUGGUUAAGUGGGAAACGAUGUGGGAAGGCCCAGACAGCCAGGAUGUUGGCUUAGAAGCAGCCAUCAUUUAAAGAAAGCGUAAUAGCUCACUGGUCGAGUCGGCCUGCGCGGAAGAUGUAACGGGGCUAAACCAUGCACCGAAGCUGCGGCAGCGACACUAUGUGUUGUUGGGUAGGGGAGCGUUCUGUAAGCCUGUGAAGGUGUACUGUGAGGUAUGCUGGAGGUAUCAGAAGUGCGAAUGCUGACAUAAGUAACGAUAAAGCGGGUGAAAAGCCCGCUCGCCGGAAGACCAAGGGUUCCUGUCCAACGUUAAUCGGGGCAGGGUGAGUCGACCCCUAAGGCGAGGCCGAAAGGCGUAGUCGAUGGGAAACAGGUUAAUAUUCCUGUACUUGGUGUUACUGCGAAGGGGGGACGGAGAAGGCUAUGUUGGCCGGGCGACGGUUGUCCCGGUUUAAGCGUGUAGGCUGGUUUUCCAGGCAAAUCCGGAAAAUCAAGGCUGAGGCGUGAUGACGAGGCACUACGGUGCUGAAGCAACAAAUGCCCUGCUUCCAGGAAAAGCCUCUAAGCAUCAGGUAACAUCAAAUCGUACCCCAAACCGACACAGGUGGUCAGGUAGAGAAUACCAAGGCGCUUGAGAGAACUCGGGUGAAGGAACUAGGCAAAAUGGUGCCGUAACUUCGGGAGAAGGCACGCUGAUAUGUAGGUGAAGUCCCUCGCGGAUGGAGCUGAAAUCAGUCGAAGAUACCAGCUGGCUGCAACUGUUUAUUAAAAACACAGCACUGUGCAAACACGAAAGUGGACGUAUACGGUGUGACGCCUGCCCGGUGCCGGAAGGUUAAUUGAUGGGGUUAGCGGUAACGCGAAGCUCUUGAUCGAAGCCCCGGUAAACGGCGGCCGUAACUAUAACGGUCCUAAGGUAGCGAAAUUCCUUGUCGGGUAAGUUCCGACCUGCACGAAUGGCGUAAUGAUGGCCAGGCUGUCUCCACCCGAGACUCAGUGAAAUUGAACUCGCUGUGAAGAUGCAGUGUACCCGCGGCAAGACGGAAAGACCCCGUGAACCUUUACUAUA